CUGCCGCCCUGAUGGCGAUCGGCGAGGCUGGGGAGCGGCCGCGGCACGGCAGGGACGGGCAGAGGAGUGCGGGCGUCAUUAAACAGUGAAUAGAGCUCAGUUAUGCUUUAAGAAGUCAAGAUGCAGCUGGCUGAACAGACAGAACAAGGCCACCACAUUUGGCUCAUCUGCCUGGUGCCGAUAGAGAGCAGCAGCCCGUUCUGAUUACGGACUCAUGCAGAGGUGAAAUUGCUCCCUUGGAACCGGUACAAGGUGCACCACAAGUGGAAGAAGCUGCUGGAAUCCAUCUAGAGUAGACUGCUAAUCGGGAGUGCUUUGAGGUGACUUGUAAGCAAAGGCAAUGCCGUGACAGCCUUCAGAAGCCACGGCCUUUGGUUUAUUUUGGGAAUGCGACUUCUGAAAUCCUCUGAAAGUGAUAUCAGUAAAGUCUAGAUGACACAAACAGCUGGCUCCACUUCCGAUGGGAGCACUUGCCAGUAACCGAAGACCCUCCUUGUAUGCGCAGAAGGAAGCAGAGCCCAGAGGCACUGAAACCAUGCCAGCCCUGCUGAAGGUAGCACUUGAUCUGCAGAGGAGCCACCGGGAACAUGAGACUCCAACCGGAGCCAUUUACACGCUGCUGGAACGUGGCCACAGGAACAAACACUGUGGUGUAAAUUCUGCCUGAGUGAAGGAGAGGCCGGAUUAUUGUCCCACAGAGGUCCCUCCCCACCUGCAACCUGUCACCACUGGGCAUCCACUGCUAAACAGCAAUAAGAGAGGUGAAGAACUGAUCCUGAGUUAUCCAUUUAAAAGCUGUGCGAGCUGCAAAAAUUGAAAUGAAAGAGGGGGUUAAUUGCACUGAACGUGCUCAGAGGAGGCAGAGCUAGGCUUUCCUGUGGAAAACUGCCAUAUGUGACUCUGCACGCAUUUAUCCUUCCUUUGACUUGUAAUGUGGAAAAAGUCAGUAAUCACAACAACUCAUGAUGUGUUGUCUCACUUGCAGGGACUGCUUGUGGCAUACAUGGAUUGACACAAAUCCUUAUCAAAACUGGAAUUAUUAUCUGCAAGUCACACUUCAGGUUUCUCAAAUAAAACUACGUUUGAAUUCUG